GGAAACCACGUAAUGAACCAACAUUACACAGCAAUAAGAGGAAAAAAAAAGUGACCAUGUUAAGACUAUCAGAGGAAACUGGGGUGCCGGCCGAGUAUUUGAGGGCGAUAGUCAUGUGCAGCGAUGACUAUAA